rnacentral:lncRNA from 1 species
CGGAAAUUAAUUCCUUAACCAAAUGGCAAAAUCAAAUGAUUAAACACAUCAAACGAAUGGACGACACUUGUCAUAUUCCUGACUUGUUACAGGCAUUUUCAAGGUGUAAAAAAAUAAUGGAUUGAACCUGGCUUAAAGAGCUGAACCUCUCACUUGUAUGACAGUCUUGUCAAAUUCCAUGAUAUUGAUAACGAUGCGUGAACAAAAAAGACACAAUAGGCCAAAAUGUAAAAAAACGAGAUAUACAACAACAACACCCAACCAACUAAAAACUGAAGAUGAUUUUAGAUGAUUCGGAAGGGUAAGCAAAUCCUGCUCCACGUGUGACGCCCAUCAUGUUGCUCAUUUUAUUACAAAGCCGGUAAAUAAUUGGUCAACCAACUCAUGAUGGCUUCCGUAAAAUUUAAGAAGUGAUGAUUUAAACUUCACCAUUUGGAACUCUUGGUUUAAAAUUGAAAAAGGUCACAAAUUUCUCCUUGCUAAAUAUCUAACACUUCUCUCAACAAGCCAAAAUUGUAAUGAUUUACAAAAAAGAGAAACUACCAUCCUCCACAUACAUGGCCAAGAAAACACUGAUAUAUAAUUUCCUAUUCAGAUGAAUUAAUAAUUAGAACAAAAAAGUUCUAAGGUUUACGUAUUAACUUUUUAAACAACUUGUUCUAAUAUUAACAAGUGAAUGUACAGCUAAGAGUAGUCGGGACCACUCUUACAAAAAAUGUCAAGUGAAGCUAUUGCGAAUUAUUCUUGGUACACCCC